rnacentral:rRNA from 1 species
CCUAAAUCUUACUUAAUUUAGUUAAAUCAAUUUGUAUACCACUAUAAUUAAAUAUAUUGAAUAAUAAUAUUUAAGAUUUUUUAAAAAAAAUAUAUGUUAAGUCAAGGUGCAAUAUAAAAUUAUGUAUGAAGUGAAUUACAAUGAUUAUAAUUUAUUUUAGAAUGAAAAAAAAAUUAGGAUUUAAAAGUAAAAUUUUAAUAGAAUGAAAAUUUGAAUAAAGCUCUGAAAUAUGCACAUAUCGCCCGUCACUCUCAAAAUUGAGAUAAGUCGUAACAAAGUAAAAAUACUGGAAAGUGUUUUU